rnacentral:rRNA from 1 species
AUUGAACGCUGGCGGCAGGCCUAACACAUGCCAGUCGAACGGUAACAGGAAGCAGCUUGCUGCUUCGCUGACGAGUGGCGGACGGGUGAGUAAUGUCUGGGAAACUGCCUGAUGGAGGGGGAUAACUACUGGAAACGGUAGCUAAUACCGCAUAACGUCGCAAGACCAAAGAGGGGGACCUUAGGGCCUCUUGCCAUCGGAUGUGCCCAGAUGGGAUUAGCUAGUAGGUGGGGUAACGGCUCACCUAGGCGACGAUCCCUAGCUGGUCUGAGAGGAUGACCAGCCACACUGGAACUGAGACACGGUCCAGACUCCUACGGGAGGCAGCAGUGGGGAAUAUUGCACAAUGGGCGCAAGCCUGAUGCAGCCAUGCCGCGUGUAUGAAGAAGGCCUUCGGGUUGUAAAGUACUUUCAGCGGGGAGGAAGGGAGUAAAGUUAAUACCUUUGUUCAUUGACGUUACCCGCAGAAGAAGCACCGGCUAACUCCGUG